rnacentral:rRNA from 1 species
CAACCGAGAUUCCCCCAGUAGCGGCGAGCGAACGGGGAGCAGCCCAGAGUCUGAAUCAGCUUGUGUGUUAGUGGAACGGUCUGGAAAGUCCGACGGUACAGGGUGAUAGUCCCGUACACCAAAAUGCACAGGUUGUGAACUCGAAGAGUAGGGCGGGACACGUGGUAUCCUGUCUGAAUAUGGGGGGACCAUCCUCCAAGGCUAAAUACUCCUGACUGACCGAUAGUGAACCAGUACCGUGAGGGAAAGGCGAAAAGAACCCCGGCGAGGGGAGUGAAAAAGAACCUGAAACCGUGUACGUACAAGCAGUGGGAGCACCUUCGGGUGUGACUGCGUACCUUUUGUAUAAUGGGUCAGCGACUUAUAUUCUGUAGCAAGGUUAACCGUAUAGGGGAGCCGCAGGGAAACCGAGUCUUAACUGGGCGUUAAGUUGCAGGGUAUAGACCCGAAACCCGGUGAUCUAGCCAUGGGCAGGUUGAAGGUUGGGUAACACUAACUGGAGGACCGAACCGACUAAUGUUGAAAAAUUAGCGGAUGACUUGUGGCUGGGGGUGAAAGGCCAAUCAAACCGGGAGAUAGCUGGUUCUCCCCGAAAGCUAUUUAGGUAGCGCCUCGUGAACUCAUCUUCGGGGGUAGAGCACUGUUUCGGCUAGGGGGUCAUCCCGACUUACCAACCCGAUGCAAACUACGAAUACCGAAGAAUGUUAUCACGGGAGACACACGGCGGGUGCUAACGUCCGUCGUGAAGAGGGAAACAACCCAGACCGCCAGCUAAGGUCCCAAAGUCAUGGUUAAGUGGGAAACGAUGUGGGAAGGCACAGACAGCCAGGAUGUUGGCUUAGAAGCAGCCAUCAUUUAAAGAAAGCGUAAUAGCUCACUGGUCGAGUCGGCCUGCGCGGAAGAUGUAACGGGGCUAAACCAUGCACCGAAGCUGCGGCAGCGACACUAUGUGUUGUUGGGUAGGGGAGCGUUCUGUAAGCCUGCGAAGGUGACCUGUGAGGGUUGCUGGAGGUAUCAGAAGUGCGAAUGCUGACAUAAGUAACGAUAAAGCGGGUGAAAAGCCCGCUCGCCGGAAGACCAAGGGUUCCUGUCCAACGUUAAUCGGGGCAGGGUGAGUCGACCCCUAAGGCGAGGCCGAAAGGCGUAGUCGAUGGGAAACAGGUUAAUAUUCCUGUACUUGGUGUUACUGCGAAGGGGGGACGGAGAAGGCUAUGUUAGCCGGGCGACGGUUGUC